CAGUAGCCGCGGUAAUACGGAGGGUGCAAGCGUUAAUCGGAAUUACUGGGCGGAAAGCGCACGCAGGCGGUCUGUCAAGUCAGAUGUGAAAUCCCCGGGCUUAACCUGGGAACUGCAUUUGAAACUGGCAGGCUAGAGUCUUGUAGAGGGGGGUAGAAUUCCAGGUGUAGCGGUGAAAUGCGUAGAGAUCUGGAGGAAUACCGGUGGCGAAGGCGGCCCCCUGGACAAAGACUGACGCUCAGGUGCGAAAGCGUGGGGAGCAAACAGGAUUAGAUACCCGCGUAGUCCCUGUCUCUUAUAC
rnacentral:rRNA from 1 species